rnacentral:lncRNA from 1 species
CCCCCGAAAGAGAAUUUUAUUUUCAAAAGUUUUUUGAAUAGGUGCAUCUGUUCAUUUUUUAACAGUCACUUUCAAGGGAUACACCUAUUCAAACAGUUGCCUCAGUGUCUAUAAAUUUUGGACGAAUUCUCAUUUGCAAAUACAUUAAAACAAUUUAUUUUUCCUUCUUUCUCUUGGCAUCAAUCAGUUAUAUUCGAGUGUUUUCUUGGUUUGAUCAAAUAGUCACAAUUUGAAUCAAACACCUCCAUUGUAUCCUAAGAGAGAUUUUCUAUUAUACCCCGUUGU